rnacentral:rRNA from 1 species
AACGUACUCAGUUCGGAUUGUAGUCUGCAACUCGACUACAUGAAGCUGGAAUCGCUAGUAAUCGCAGAUCAGAAUGCUGCGGUGAAUACGUUCCCGGGUCUUGUACACACCGCCCGUCACACCAUGGGAGUCGGAAAUGCCCGAAGCCGGUGACCCAACCAAGAGGAGGGAGCCGUCGAAGGCAGGUCUGAUAACUGGGGUGAAGUCGUAACAAGGUAAC